rnacentral:misc_RNA from 1 species
GAAAUGCGAUAAGUAAUGCGAAUUGCAGAAUUCAGUGAAUCAUCGAAUCUUUGAACGCACAUUGCGCCUGCCAGCAUUCUGGCAGGCAUGCCUGUCUGAGCGUCAUUUCACACCCUCGCACCCGGUCCGCGCCCGCGCGCCCGGGGGCGGUGUUGGAGAUCGGCCGCCCCUGCGGGUGGCCGGCUCCCAAAUCCAGUGGCGACCGCGCCGUAGCCUCCUCUGCGUAGUAGUAUAACUCACCUCGCGGGUCGGAGAGCGGCGCGGAUCCUGCCGUGAAACCCCCCAACUUUCCAAGGUUGACCUCAGAUCAGGUAGGAAUACCCGCUGAACUUAA